rnacentral:misc_RNA from 1 species
CGAUCAAUAAAAGGUAAUAAUUUUGCUUUAAGUUUGAUUUUUUGUUCGUUAAGAAAUUGGAUAUUGUUUUGAUCUGAUUCUUUUUGGUGGUUGUCUAUGUUGGUAUUUUCAGUUUCACAGAUGUUGAUGAUUUCUUGUUUUUAAAGUUUUUCACUUUUUCAAUUUGAGAUAUGUUUUUGGGUUCUUGAUUUUUGAUGUUCCCAAAGUGAAUAUCCAUGUAUUUUAAGACUUUUUUGGGCUUCAAAUUAUAUUGUUUAUGAUUACGUGCUCAAGUUUG